CCUACGGGAGGCAGCAGUAGGGAAUCUUCCGCAAUGGGCGAAAGCCUGACGGAGCAAUGCCGCGUGAGUGAAGAAGGCCUUCGGGUCGUAAAACUCUGUUAUAAGAGAAGAACAAAUUGUAGAGUAACUGCUACAGUCUUGACGGUAUCUUAUCAGAAAGCCACGGCUAACUACGUGCCAGCAGCCGCGGUAAUACGUAGGUGGCAAGCGUUGUCCGGAUUUAUUGGGCGUAAAGGGAGCGCAGGUGGUUUCUUAAGUCUGAUGUGAAAGCCCACGGCUUAACCGUGGAGGGUCAUUGGAAACUGGGAAACUUGAGUACAGAAGAGGAAUGUGGAACUCCAUGUGUAGCGGUGGAAUGCGUAGAUAUAUGGAAGAACACCAGUGGCGAAGGCGACAUUCUGGUCUGUUACUGACACUGAGGCUCGAAAGCGUGGGGAGCAAACAGGAUUAGAUACCCCAGUAGUC
rnacentral:rRNA from 1 species